UGGGGAAUAUUGGACAAUGGGCGAAAGCCUGAUCCAGCCAUGUCGCGUGUGUGAACAAGGUCUUCGGAUUGUAAAGCCCUUUAAGUUGGGAGGAAGGGCAUUAACCUAAUACGUUAGUGUUUUGACGUUACCGACAGAAUAAGCACCGGCUAACUCUGUGCCAGCAGCCGCGGUAAUACAGAGGGUGCAAGCGUUAAUCGGAAUUACUGGGCGUAAAGCGCGCGUAGGUGGUUUGUUAAGUUGGAUGUGAAAUCCCCGGGCUCAACCUGGGAACUGCAUUCAAAACUGACUGACUAGAGUAUGGUAGAGGGUGGUGGAAUUUCCUGUGUAGCGGUGAAAUGCGUAGAUAUAGGAAGGAACACCAGUGGCGAAGGCGACCACCUGGACUAAUACUGACACUGAGGUGCGAAAGCGUGGGGAGCAAACA
rnacentral:rRNA from 1 species